rnacentral:lncRNA from 1 species
CCAGAUGUUCACCAGAUACGAAUAACUGGUCCAAAUCAUCCAACGGACAGGAACCAUAUGGCUCUCUUCCCUGACUACAAGACUGGGUUUUAACUAUGUCCUAGCAGCACAUAAGAACAGAACUAUAAGCAGCAUACAAAUAAUCUACACUGAGUUUCGUCCAAAAGAGUACGAAGACAUGGCUAACCACCAUCUAGGAGUCAACAUGCUACAACUAAUAGCGAGAAGCGAUAUGGUUUGCAGUUGGUUAGAAGAAAAUAUCAAACCCAGGCCAUGCUGACAAAACGAUCAAAUCAACCGGAAAUUACUACGGAAGAGAAGAGCGGAGCAGAGGCAAAGUUACUCCUCUUGACCAGGAGCAAGAGUUCACGGAUCGCAACUGCCACCUUGGGAUCAUCAUGGUGAGAGAUCUGCCAAGGUCAUAAGCAAUCAAUAGUGGCAUGUCCAUGAGGAAAAAUGACAAACAAGAAAAAACAUACUGGCAUGUACUCCCUCCGUUCCUAAAUAUAAGUCUUUGGAGAGAUUUCACUAUGGACUACAUACGGAGCAAAAUGAGUGAAUCAUACUCUAAAAUGCAUCUAUAUACAUCCGUAUGUGGUCCAUAGUGGAAUCUCUACAAAGACUUAUAUUUAGGAACGGAGGGAGUAGUUAGAAUGGAAUACCAGACCCAGCAGAAGGAGCAGGCCAGUGCACAGGAGACAGGACUAUAGCAAAAGGACUUGCUUACUUAAACAGUCCAACCUGCCAAGAUUACAUCGAGCAGCAAGAUUACACAUUUUACACCCACGAAUCGUAUAACCUAAUUUAGACUCGUACAUGCCACAUGCAUGAUUGAACAAACAAUGAAAAAUCACAAUACAUCUUAAGAGUAUAUAAAGGUUGCUCUCUGUUUCCUAGUGAUUGCUGAACCCAAGGCAGUUCAAGAAGAAUGAGAUGCUAGCCAACUCAUGGCAGAAUUUUGCAACCAAAUAGGUUGGUGGUUCCAAUGAAACCAAAAUAGAAUAUGAAUAUACAGUUGUACAAACAGCAAAGGGGAGAACUUCCUCCCAUGGCAGUCAAAGUGCCAAUUGCCUAGAAACAGUGAACACAUCAUCCAAAGCCUAUGUGUUACUAUAACAAAACCUAGAUUCACAAGUCAAUGCAAUUAAGUUCUGUCAAUAACGAAGAGGGCAGCAUCUUUUUCCAAGAUCUACUCGGAAGCUGCAAAAGUGGGCAUACCUGGUGUAUUUUGUUACAGUGACAAAGUGCUUCAGGAGGAAAAAAAAAAAAGGAGCUCAGGGCUUGGACUUAGAAAGUACUGAGCUGUGCGCUAUAAUUGACAGCUGUAGCAAUACAAUGCAGAAUGCAGUAGUUCUGAUACGGACUGAGAGCUGGUCCUGUGGAUUCGCUUUGGUUGUCACUAAACUCACCAUGUUCAUGAAGCGAAGUUCAUCUCUGAGUAUCUGAUAAAUUAUAAGCGAUGUCAAUACAUAUACUUGGUGUUAACACGACACAGAAACCUUAAUUAAUUCCCAUGAUCUGAACUUACCUGAGAAGUUUGUUCUUGCGCUGGCCAAGCUCAUGACCUACAACCUCCACCAAAAAGGUAAGAGAUAAAAUAUAAGUUGUACUUAUAAAGUAAGAUCUAGAGAAUAAUAUACCAUUUAAACAUCAGUUAAGACUAAAAGAAUACAGAAUAUGCAAUGAGACUGAGUGGUUUCUUUCACCUGGUAUUUCAGGGGAGUUCAACAAAACAGGAACUUCAGUCACACAAUCGUGUCUGCAGGGAAAAAGAAGAAAUUAACAUAAAGCAAUGGGUAUUCAUCUUUCUUGUACUGCACUGUAGUUCUUGUUUGUCUAUGCAAGUUUCCCAAGCAAAACACGCAAUCUGGCUUGAAAUAGUCAGGCCGUUGGCAGGCACUCUACAUGGAUACAAAACCUCGAAUCUGUAAAGAACUGGAAUGAAGAAAAGAAAUGCACACACCAAGAUACAAGGUAUAAAGUUACACAAAUUCGUGUGUUGUACAUUGAUGCCUAUAAAAGAAUCAAUGGAACAGGUGCUGAAACGCAAAAACCUCCAACAUCCCAUUUCCAAUAUCCAUGAAGCCAUAUACAGGUGGUGACUUCCUCUUUUCGAAAUUUUUUUUUACCGACUUCCUACACAGAAACGUUUUUCUACUGUUUUAUGACUUAUACUGGAACUCCCAGGAAGGCAGCUAAAGCAAAAGUCCGACUCGCAGUGGGAACACGAUACAGAGAAAGGCUAGUUGAGAACCUUGUAAUUGUCGAGGCCAGCCAUUCAAUUCAGUGUAACCAGAAAAUUUGAGCUCCAGAUUGUAAGACAUAGGAAAAACUAGCUCUGAGAUUACGGUGUCCUAAUAAUCUGCAUGCUGUAAUUGUGAUUACAUUGAAGAUAGCCAAAAUCUUUAGCACCGACCAGACCAGAAAGUGUGCCAAUAAAAAAUACUGACCAGGAGUAUACAUACAACUGUAACUGUUAUAGGUGAUUAUUUUUCAGAGUUCAGAUGCUAAACUCUGACUGCAACUGAUUUAACUACAGCUGCAGUUAGGCAAAUACCAGCUAGCUUUGUUGCGAAGUAUAUACAUACACCUAUAAGGUGAGAACAUGAUAUCUGAAAGCGUGUAACAUAAAGGACACCGAAGUUAGGAUUUUACCUUGGGAAUACUGAUAGUUGGGGAUAAUGACUGCCAAUAUAAGAAGGAUCAUGUGUUGCCCCAAGAACCCCAGUAGCACCAGACAAUGUUUGCAGCCUAAUUUUCAGCAAAUGAAGUCAAAGAGGGAUCAAAUGCCGAUUUAGAUCAAAGAAUAAGAUAACACGAUCCAACCAUAGUAAAAUGGAUGUAACUAGAAUUGCUGGCUACUGAUUAAGAGCUCAGGCAUAUUACAUGCUCUGAUUAAGCACGUUCAACCAAUCUUAACAGCAAAUUCGAGGAUCCUACAAAAUGGAAUCAGACUAAUUUUGCCAGUAACUACCAUGUAAUCAACCAGUUCAGUACCAUGAUGUUCUUCCUAGGAACCCAUGGUUGUCAUAUUCAUCUAUUCUGUAAUAGCAUAUGACAGGAACGUACAGUAUCCGUGGAUACCAUGCCCAACACAGACAGGCCUUCAGCACGCCAUGGAUAAGUAAUGUCUGUAUGUCCGAUAAUUUUUCUACAGGAAAAAAAUAUCCAUUUAUGGCAUGGCAUGAACAAGUGUAGGACUGUUGAGAGUUGAGACAUAGGUUGGCCCAAAUGCUGACUCGUCUAUGGCUUGUAUCGCGUUUGGCAAUCUGCCUUGGCGUCCUUUUUUUCUUCUUCUUUUUGCCGAUUUUAUUGUAUUUGUAAUAAUUCGGUUGUAUUCAUCCUUAGCUGGCGCAGAGGCUGGGGGUAAUGAAGCUUCAAUUUUCUAAAAAAAACAGCUUGGCCCAAAUAAUAGUACUAACAAGAUAACAGGUUUUUGAACCCUGCAGAGUGCACCACAACUAAUCACAAAUAUCUGUAGUACUCAUGAAGAAGUUAGCUAAAUGGAGUUUGCAGCUUCAAUAUCAAGAUACCAAUCAGAAAAAUGAAGCAAUACUUCUUCCGAAAGAUCUAUACGAAAAUUGAAUCCCACAUACCAAGUAAUUUGAUUAAGCUCAGAAUUGUCACUGGGUUGAUGAGCCAAAAGUCCUGGGAAAGCCAUACCACUGCAUGGGAUAUCAGGUCCCCUAGGAUGCUGCUCACCAAACUUCAUAACUGCCGAGGAAAUGGAGUUCAAAGUUAGGGUAACAGAGAAUGUGCAGGACCAGAGCCUCAAGCAUGCACACAUUUCAGAAGAAAAGGACAGGUACAAGAGUACGGAGUUAUAUAUAUAUAUAGCAUCACUAUAUAUAUAUAUAUAUAUAGUAUCAGUAUGGCAAUGUAGACUGAGAAUAUAACACAUAGGAUAACAUUAGCAUAAUACCAACCAAGAAUUGGUAUGAACAAGCAAGGCUACAACUCUGCAAAUAAAAUGAUACCUAGACCUAAUCCUUAUUCUGGAAUGAUCACAGAGUAGUAUUUCCUAAAGUUCUCUAGCAGCUAGGCUACGGUUGAAACUUGGCCCAUACGCACUUCUGGAGCUCCAAAUCGUAAAGAAGGAACUAUUUGAGUUAUCAAAUUCAUGCUAGAAUAUUUAAAACCUGUUGAAAUCAAAUCUCGUUGCCAUUUCCCCCCUUUGUGAAGUGCAUGACUGCAUGAAAGUUUCUGUACCAAGUCAGAACAAACUUUAAAUGGUUGGGCUGCUCUACUUUUUUUACGGGGUGGCUGGACUGCUCUACUGGUUGCAAUUUUAUAAUUAAAUUCAUAUAUGUCAUGUAUCCAACUAACAAUACAUACCUUUUUUUUUAGGGGAACUAACAAUACAUACCUGGCAACACUGCUGGAGUGCCAAGAGUAAGGUCCUUUGCUACUGUAACAUCAAGAGCAUGACCUCCACCACAAGGGAAAGAGCCACUCACUGCUUCUACCUUAUCAUUCUGCACUAUUAUAACAGACGGUGCUAAAGAAUUGUUUGACCCAGGAGGGGGACUGGUCUCUGCAUCUUCAGUUGAACUUAUCAGUGUAUUUUGUGGAUGAGACUGAAUUUUGCUGGCACUGGCAAUGUUUUGAUGAAAUAUCUGAGCAGAAAGUUUGUUCUCUGUGGGGACACCAAUGUUCAAACCACUUCCUUGAUCCCUGGAUUCUGAAUAUUGGCUAUUUGAUGUUGAUACAGUUGAAUGAGAACCAAGGUUAGGCAUGCCUUUUACCAUACUAAGAGAACCAGCAGUAUUUCCAUGCUCACCAGAAGGAGCAAAUGCCUUCACUCCAAAACUGGGACGAGAUUGAGGUUUCAGAGAACUAUGUGCCAUUCGAACGGAGGAUGAGAAGAGCUUACUUAAAAUGUCAGGUCGUGCUUUCCUUCUUUCUACAAAGGAGGGUUCUUGCUUCGACGAAAACUCUUGUUCAUUCUGCAAACCUAAAGUUCGAUGUGAGUUCUUUCCCACACCUGUAUCAGAACAGCCCUCCUCAUUCCGUGAUCUGGAAUAUGUCCUAUGAAGCAUAGGCAACAACAUAGUUAAUGCUAAAUUCAGCUAGCAAUCUCUAAGAAGGGGGGAGUGAAUUCACACUUUACCUAUUGUUUUGCACUGAAGAGGUUUGGAAAGUAUUCUUCCAGGUAGGUUGGUAGGGCCUUGAUGGUUUCCCUCUGUUAACAUUUGGUGCAUUGUUGUAACCUUUAGCAUUCACAUAACAGAUACGAGAUUCUGUCCAGUUCUGCUCGUCAUAGUACGAAUGGGAUUUUCUUGGAACACUUCUGUAGUUCUUGGCGCUGUAAUAGGAAGUUUUGGCCUCUUUUGGAAAUCUAAUGUAGUUGUUGGUACUCCCAUACUUGUAGUCUGCUCUGUAAUCAUGAUAAUAGGAUGCGGAUUUGGUUCCUUCUAGAUAACCAUGGUUAAUGUCAUGAGUUCUACCACCAGCCCAUGCUCUAAAAGGACUUCUUGGCCUCCUUGUCUAAACAAAGCAAAGAAAAUCAAUGAAGUCAGUAAGAACACUACAUAGUAGAUAGGGGGCAAAGGUGUGAUACACACACUGCCAUGUUGAACAUAACGGGUAUUGAUCUCAUGAAACCGAUCAUGGUUAACGUCAUGAGUUCUACCACCAGUCCAUGCUCCAAAAGGACUUCUUGGUCUCCUUGUCUAAACAAAGCAAAGCAAAUCAACAAAGUCAGUAAGAAUACUAGUACACAAUAGAUAGGGGGAAAGGCAUGAAACAUACACUGUCAUGUUGAACAUAAUGGGUAUUGAUCUCAUCAAACCGAUCAUGGUUAACAUCAUGAGUUCUACCACCAGCCCAAGCUCUAAAUGGACUUCUUGGCCUCCUUGUCUAAACAAAGCAAAGCAAAUCAACGAAGUCAGUAAGAAUACUAGCACAUAACAGAUAGGGGGAAAGGCGUGAUACAGACACUGUCAUGUUGAACAUCAUGGGUAUUGAUCUCAUUAAACCGAUCAUGCAGCCAUACGCUAUCAUCUUUAGAAUUCCAUAACUUUUGGCCACCGAAAAAGUCCCUGAAUUGAUAACAUUGAUACAUCAGGAAGACACUAUGGGCUAAUAUUUAUAGUGAAUACGGAUGGAAAAAAUAUAUAGAAAAGGGAGCCAACAUCAAACUCUACCAAUCUCUAGAAGUUGUGCCAAGCAGUCAAUGCCAGUGAGUAACAAAAUGCAAUUAGGUAGCAGUUCAUCUGUUUAAGCUCUUACAACAAGCAGUGCUUGCAGUGUCACACGAUGUUUCCUUUGAAUGCACGAUCUUAUCAUACAAUCUCCAAUCGGGGAACAGUUGGAUCACUCUAAGCAUGUAGGUGCUCCCACCAAGAUACCUCUCCAUUUUUCAUGUGGGAGAGUUAAAUUUGAUCGACAAUCCUUGCUGCAACUAAUGCGAUGCACAUGCUUCCAGACUAGCUUGUACGGUCAGAGAGCAUACUACCGAGCAACAGAUGAACAUCCGAAGAGGAAGCAACCAGGGAAAGACGAAAGGCUCGAACCUCUGGCGCCCGCGGCUGCGGUUUUCCUUGUUCUGGAAGCGAUCAUCGUGCAUGUAGAAGGCACCUGUUCUCGGCACGGCGUCGGGCUCGAACCCCUUGUUCUCCUUGUCCUCUUCUUUCAGUUCGGCUCCCGUCUCAGCCUGGGCAUCCUCCUCCUCCUCGUACUUCCCCUCGUCCUCCGGCGCCGCAGCCACCUCAUCCGGCGUCACUUCCUUGGCCUCUCCACCGCCCCCAGAUCCUGCGUCGAACUCCUUGCGAACCUCCUCGCAUUCCUCGGAACCCUCGUCUUCGCCGUCCACCUCGGUCGCGCCCAGCUCGUCGGAGUCGGAAUCGGACCAGACCACCCUCGACGGCGGCGAGGAACCACUCCCCCCACCGCCGCCGCCAUCGCCCUCCUCCUCGUCGUCGCUCGCCGCCGCGCGACGCCUCAACGCCGGGAGGGGCGAGUCGUCGACGUCGCUCACGUCCUCCUUCUCGUCCCCCUCCGCCGUCGACGCCUUCUCCUCUUCAGCCAUAGAGGCCGCCGCGCCAAUUUGGGCGAGAAUGCUAGGGUUUAAGCUAGGGUUUGAGGGAAUCCGGAAGGUUCGAGAGGCUUCUCGACCUCGCGUGGAAAGCUGUUCUGUUUUUUGGCGGACUGGUUUGAUUUGAUCACCUUUUCUGAUCGAUCAGCUUCUCUGUCGUGAGGGGAAAGAGAAGAAGGGCAUUCAUUAGCUGGAGCCACUAUGCAAAACCACUGGGAGGUCCAGCUAAAAAACAAAUUAGGGAUGUUGAGGCGCCGACAAGUGGGCCACAGUAAUGAGAUUUGUAGGUGGAGCCUGUUGGCCCCACCUGUCACCACUCGUCCUUGUUUUAGUAUGUGCGUGGACGGCUGCUAGGUGUCAUCCGCCUGCUAAACCCUAGUUAACAGCCUGCAAAACAGCCGUCGAUUUAAUUACAUGCGACCGUCGGAUUGAAGCCACGUCCGUGUCAGCAGAAACAACAACUCUCGUUGCCUGCUCCCGCGUUGCUGCAAUCAUUGGAUGUGGAAGCAAAAUCCCCGCCUCCUUUGCAGCUCCUCUAUACCCGCCCGAGGCCAGGGCGAGUACUAGAUCAUCGUCGCCAACGCACCCUCUACCAUCGCCGACGUCGACGCAUCAUUGCCUCUACCACCGCCGCCGACGACGCAUCAUCGCCCCCGUACACCUUCCCACACCAUGGCAACUCCCCACAUAGUGCGGUCUAUGUUGUCAGCCGCCAUGGCUCGAAGCUCCGGUGCUCCAUCCAGCGGCACGCAAGCCAAAUCGGCCCCGAUUCUCGCCGACGAGUCGAUUCCGCAGUCUGGAGCUGCAAGGGAGCUUCGCGAUCCUCCUGUAUUCUCUGCUAAAGGUUCCCGACUAGCUCCUCACAUGCUUGGGUAAGUUGCUCAAAACCCUAGCUGUCCAGCUCCAACCCUAGCUAUCCAGCUCCUUCUCGUGAAGUAUGAAGCAAAAAAAUGGGUGUACUGUGUUUGUGAUUUCCUGAAUUUCAUGAAGCAUGAAGUAUGAAUUGCAUUAAAAAAUGUUCAGGGAGGGGGGAGUUAAGAUGCAUGUGUGGUGAAUUGUUCCGAUAUGUGCAUGUUGGUAAUGCUAUCUGUGGUGAAAAUAGUAGUUGUCUUGGUCACUGGCUUUGUUUGCUAUGUUGCAAUUAAAACAUAGUAGUUGUGUUGGUGAAGUUUCUUCACUAGUAAAGUUAGACAUGAAGAAAUGUUGCAUCUACUAGGCAAAAGCUAAUUUGUAGUAAACAUUGUCACCUUGAUUAGCCUAGCACUGUGAAUCAUUGUUGUAGCAUGUAGUAGAAGCAUUUUAUUUAGUAUGAUGAGGUGAAAAAAAAACUGAAGUUAUACAUUGCUAGAAGCACUAGUUCCUCUCUACAUUCUACCUUUUUUACUGACGUUGUGAUUAUUUUUUUCUACAGCAAUAAAAACAACCAAAAAAGGGCUGCUGGUGCUGGAGUUGAUGGUGAUGAGAGCUACAUCAUGGGCAAAUUUCUGUUGUGACUGGAGUCAAUAUGGAAGGGGUGAUUAAUGUUGCUGAUGUGCAACACGAUAAAGAUGAUGCAGAUGGUGAUGCAAUAUCCUCGCAGCCGCUUGUUCCAUAUGGUGAUCGUCGUGGUGAUCGUCUUCAUCAACAUCAUCGUCUUCAUCACAUUCCUCAUCUCUUUUCGGCGGUCCACUCUCCCGCACCCCGCUAUAAUCCCCUACAUGAACAUGACGCUUUAUGCCACAUAUUUAUUAUCCAAUGAUGUGUUGCCAUCCUAUGAUGCUUGAGUAGAUCUCUUUUGUUCUUUGCGUUGAUUGAUGAUCUUGAUUGGUUUGAGUUGUAUGUUUUAUAUUGGUGUUGUCCUAUGGCGCCCUCCGUGCCGCGCACACGUGAGGGAUCACCGUUGUAGGGUUUGUAAUAUGUUCAUAGUUCGCUUAUGGUGGGUUGCUAGAGUGACAGAAGCUUAAACCCGAGUAAAGGGGUUGUUUGCGUAUGGGAGUAAAGAGGACUUGAUACUUUAAUGCUAUGGUUGGGUUUUACCUUAAUGAUUAGUUGCGGAUGCUUGCUAGAGUUCCAAUCAUGUGCGUAUGAUGCAAGUAGAGAAAGUAUGUUAGCUUAUUGAUACGUCUCCAACGUAUCUAUAAUUUUUUAUUGUUCCAUGCUAUAUUAUAUUCUGUUUUGGACAUUAUUGGGCUUUAUUAUACACUUUUAUAUUAUUUUCGGGACUAACCUAUUAACCGGAGGUCCAGCCCAGAAUUGCUGUUUUUUUUGCCUAUUUCAGAGUUUCGUAGAAAAAGAAUAUCAAACGGAGUCCAAACGGAAUGAAACCUUCGGGAACGUGAUUUUCGGAACGAACGUGAUCCAGAGGACUUGGACCCUACGUCAAGAAAGCUACCAGGAGGGCACGAGGUAGGGGGGCGCGCCCUCCACCCUCGUGGGCCCCAUGUUGCUCCACCGAUGUAUUUCUUCCUCCUAUAUAUACCUACGUACCCCAAACUACCAGAUACGGAGCCAAAAACCUAAUUCCACCGCCGCAACCUUCUGUACCCGUGAGAUCCCAUCUUGGGGCCUGUUCCGGAGCUCCGCCGGAGGGGGCAUCGAUCACGAAGGGCUUCUACAUCAACACCAUAGCCUCUCCGAUGAAGUGUGAGUAGUUUACCUCAGACCUUCGGGUCCAUAGUUAUUAGCUAGAUGGCUUCUUCUCUCUUUUUGGAUCUCAAUACAAUGUUCUCCCCCUCUCUUGUGGAGAUCUAUUCGAUGUAAUCUUCUUUUGCGGUGUGUUUGUUGAGACCGAUGAAUUGUGGGUUUAUGAUCAAGUUUAUCUAUGAACAAUAUUUGACUCUUCUCUGAAUUCUUUUAUGUAUGAUUGGUUAUCUUUGCAAGUCUCUUCGAAUUAUCAGUUUGGUUUGGCCUACUAGAUUGAUCUUUCUUGCAAUGGGAGAAGUGCUUAGCUUUGGGUUCACUCUUGCGGUGUCCUUUCCCAGUGACAGUAGGGGCAGCAAGGCACGUAUAGUAUUGUUGCCAUCGAGGAUAACAAGAUGGAGUUUAUAUCAUAUUGCAUGAGUUUAUCCCUCUACAUCAUGUCAUCUUGCUUAAAGCGUUACUCUGUUCUUAUGAACUUAAUACUCUAGAUGCAUGCUGGAUAGCGGUCGAUGUGUGGAGUAAUAGUAGUAGAUGCAGACAGGAGUCGGUCUACUUGUCUCGGACGUGAUGUCUAUAUACAUGAUCAUACCUAGAUAUUCUCAUAACUAUGCUCAAUUCUGUCAAUUGCUCAACAGUAAUUUGUUCACCCACCGUAAUACUUAUGCUCAUGAGAGAAGCCACUAGUGAAACCUAUGCCCCCGGGUCUAUUUUCCAUCAUAUUAAUCUUCCAACAACAAGCUAUUUCCAUUGCCUUUUAUUUUGCUUUUAUUUUACUUUGCAUCUUUAUCAUAAAAAUACCAAAAAUAUUAUCCUAUCAUACCUAUCAGAUCUCACUCUCGUAAGUGACCGUGUAGGGAUUGACAACCCCUUAUCGCGUUGGUUGCGAGGAUUUAUUUGUUUGUGUAGGUGCGAGGGACUCGUGCGUGGCCUCCUACUGGAUUGAUACCUUGGUUCUCAAAAACUGAGGGAAAUACUUAUGCUGCAUUACUGCAUCACCCUUUCCUCUUCAAGGGAAAACCAACGCAGUGCUCAAGAGGUAGCACUUAUGCCUCUCCCUCACAUAAAAUUGCAAUAAUAAUUACCGAUCUUGUUAACAAUUGCCUAGGACAAUUCCAUGCACCGAUCCAUCAUUAUUUCACACUCGCUAUUUGUAAUAUACUGUAAUAUAUUCUAACUUUAUGUUAACAACACCUAUUUCUACAUUUUAUCUCUCCGAUAUCAUGCAAAGCUAUCAUUUUUAUACCCACAACAUAGUUUUAUUUCUCAUUUCUAGAAGAAAGCAAACACUCGGUAUACGUAGAGCUGUAUCGAUGGCAAAUAGUGUUGGAAAUAUGCCCUAGAGGCAAUAAUCGUUUAUUAUCCAUGCUAGAAUUGUAUUGAUAGGAAACUCAGAUGCAUGUGUGGAUACAUAGACAACACCAUGUCCCUAGUAAGGCUCUAGGAGACUAGCUCGUUGAUCAAUAGAUGGUUACGGUUUCCUGACCAUGGACAUUGGAUGUCAUUGAUAACGGGAUCACAUCAUUAGGAGAAUGAUGUGAUGGACAAGACCCAAUCCUAAGCCUAGCACAGAUCGUGUAGUUCGUUUGCUCAGAGCUUUUCUAAUGUCAAGUAUCAGUUCCUUAGACCAUGAGAUUGUGCAACUCCCGGAUACCGUAGGAAUGCUUUGGGUGUACCAAACGUCACAACGUAACUGGGUGGCUAUAAAGGUGCACUACAGGUAUCUCCGAAAGUGUCUGUUGGGUUGGCACGAAUCGAGACUGGGAUUUGUCACUCCGUGUAAACGGAGAGGUAUCUCUGGGCCCACUCGGUAGGACAUCAUCAUAAUGUGCACAAUGUGACCAAGGAGUUGAUCACGGGAUGAUGUGUUACGGAACGAGUAAAGAGACUUGCCGGUAACGAGAUUGAACAAGGUAUCGGGAUACCGACGAUCGAAUCUCGGGCAAGUAACAUACCGAUAGACAAAGGGAAUUGUAUACGGGAUUGAUUGAAUCCUCGAUAUCGUGGUUCAUCCGAUGAGAUCAUCGAGGAGCAUGUGGGAGCCAACAUGGGUAUCCAGAUCCCGCUGUUGGUUAUUGACCGGAGAGUCGUCUCGGUCAUGUCUGCGUGUCUCCCGAACCCGUAGGGUCUACACACUUAAGGUUCGGUGACGCUAGGGUUGUAGAGAUAUUAGUAUGCGGUAACCCGAAAGUUGUUCGGAGUCCCGGAUGAGAUCCCGUACGUCACGAGGAGUUCCGGAAUGGCCCGGAGGUAAAGAUUUAUAUAUGGUAAGUCUUAUUUUGGUCGCCGGAAAAGUUUUGCACUUUAUCGGUAUUGUACCGGGAGUGCCGAAAGGGGUCCGGGGGUCCACCAAGGGGUCCACCAGCCCCGGGGGGGCCACAUGGGCUGUGGGGGGUGCGCCUUGGCCUAUAUGGGCCAAGGGAACCAGCCCCAAGAGGCCCAUGCGCCAACAGAUAAGAUAAACGGAGAGUCCUAAAGGGGGAAGGCACCUCCGAGGUGCCUUGGGGAGGAAGGACUCCUCCCUGGCCGCACCCUUCCUUGGAGGAAGGGCCAAGGCUGCGCCCCCCCUUUCCCUUGGCCCUAUAUAUAGUGGGGGGGAGGGAGGGCAGCAGCAAUCCAAGCCCUGGCGCCUCCCUCUCCCUCCCGUGACACAUCUCCCUCCUCCCGCAGCGCUUGGCGAAGCCCUGUUGGAGUCCCGCUACUUCCACCACCACGCCGUCGUGCUGCUGGAUCUCCAUCAACCUCUCCUCCCCCUUGCUGGAUCAAGAAGGAGGAGACGUCGCUGCUCCGUACGUGUGUUGAACGCGGAGGUGCCGUCCGUUCGGCGCUAGGAUCAUCGCUGAUUUGGAUCACGACGAGUACGACUCCAUCAACCCCGUUCUCUUGAACGCUUCCGCAUCGCGAUCUACAAUGGUAUGUAGAUGCACUCCCCUUCCCCUCGUUGCUAGAUUACUCCAUAGAUUGAUCUUGGUGAUGCGUAGAAAAUUUUGAAUUUCUGCUACGUUCCCCAACAGUGGCAUCAUGAGCUAGGUCUAUGCGUAGUUUCUAUGCACGAGUAGAACACAAAGUAGUUGUGGGCGUAGAUGUUGCCAAUUCUUCUUGCCGCUACUAGUCUUAUCUUGUUUCGGCGGCAUUGUGGGAUGAAGCGGCCCGGACCGAUCUUACACGUACGCUUACGUGAGACAGGUUCCACCGACUGACAUGCACUAGUUGCAUAAGGUGGCUAGCGGGUGUCUGUCUCUCCCACUUUAGUCGGAACGGAUUCGAUGAAAAGGGUCCUUAUGAAGGGUAAAUAGAAAUUGGCAUAUCACGUUGUGGUCUUACGUAGGUAAGAAACGUUCUUGCUAGAAACCUAUUCAAGCCACGUAAAAACUUGCAACAACAAUUAGAGGACGUCUAACUUGUUUUUGCAGCAUGUGCUAUGUGAUGUGAUAUGGCCAGAAGAUGUGAUGAAUGAUAUAUGUGAUGUAUGAGAUUGAUCAUAUUCUUGUAAUAGGAAUCACGACUUGCAUGUCGAUGGUAUGACAACCGGCAGGAGCCAUAGGAGUUGUCUUUAUUUUUUGUAUGACCUGCGUGUCAUUGAAUAACGCCAUGUAAAUUACUUUACUUUAUUGCUAAGCGCGUUGGCCAUAGAAGUAGAAGUAAUCGUUGGCGUGACAACUUCAUGAAGACACAAUGAUGGAGAUCAUGAUGAUGGAGAUCAUGGUGUCAUGCCGGUGACAAAGAUGAUCAUGGUGCCCCGAAGAUGGAGAUCAAAGGAGCAAAAUGAUAUUGGCCAUAUCAUGUCACUAUUUGAUUGCAUGUGAUGUUUAUCAUGUUAUGCAUCUUAUUUGCUUAGAACGACGGUAGUAAGUAAGAUGAUCCCUUAUAAAAUUUCAAGAGAAGUGUUCCCCCUAACUGUGCACCGUUGCGAAGGUUCGUUGUUUCGAAGCACCACGUGAUGAUCGGGUGUGAUAGAUUCUAACGUUCGAAUACAACGGGUGUUGACGAGCCUAGCAUGUACAGACAUGGCCUCAGAACACAUGCGAAACACUUAGGUUGACUUGACGAGCCUAGCAUGUACAGACAUGGCCUCGGAACACAAGAGACCGAAAGGUCGAACAUGAGUCGUAUAGUAGAUACGAUCAACAUGGAGAUGUUCACCGAUGAUGACUAGUCCGUCUCACGUGAUGAUCGGACACGGCCUAGUUUGACUCGGAUCAUGUAUCACUUAGAUGACUAGAGGGAUGUCUAUCUGAGUGGGAGUUCAUUAAAUAAUCAGAUGAACUUCAUUAUCAUGAACAUAGUCAAAAGGUCUUUGCAAAUUAUGUCAUACGCUUUAGUUCUACUGGUUAAGAUAUGUUCCUAGAGAAAAAUUUAGUUGAAAGUUAAUAGUAGCAAUUAUGCGGACUGGGUCCGUAAACUGAGGAGUGUCCUCAUUGCUGCACAGAAGGCUUAUGUCCUUAAUGCACCGCUCGGUGUGCUGAACCUCAGCGUCGUCUGUAGAUGUUACGAAACAUCUGACAUACACGUUUUGAUGACUACGUGAUAGUUCAGUGCGUAAUGCUAACGGUUUAGAAUUGUGGCACCAAAGACGUUUUUGAAACGUCGCAGAACAUAUGAGAUGUUCCGAAGACUGAAAUUGGGAUUUUAGACUAGUGCCCACGUCAAGAGGUAUGAGACCUCUGACAAGUUUCUUAAACCUGCAGACUAAGGGAGAAAAGCUCAAUCGUUGAGCAUGUGCUCAGAUUGUCUGGGUACCACAAUCGCUUGAAUCGAGUGGGAGUUAAUCUCCCAGAUGAGAUAGUGAUGGUUCUCCAUAGUCGCUGCCACCAAGCUAGUAGAGCUUCGUGAUGAACUAUAACAUAUCAGGGAUAGUUAUGAUGAUCCUUGAGCUAUUCGAUGUUUGACACCGCGAAAGUAGAAAUCAAGAAGGAGCAUCAAUUGUUGAUGGUUAGUAAAACCACUAGUUUCUAGAAGGGCAAGGGCAAAAGGGAUACUUCGUGAAACAGCAAAUCGUUUGCUGCUCUAGUGAAGAAUCCCAAGGUUGAACCCAAACCGGAGACUAAGUGCUUCUGUAAUGAGGGGAACGGUCACUGAAGCAGCACUAUCCUAGAUACUUGGUAGAUGAGAAGGCAGGCAAGGUCGACAGAAGUAUAUUGGAUAUACAUGUGUACUUUACUAGUACUCCUAGCAGCACCAGGGUGUUAGAUACCGGUUCGGUUGCUAAGUGUUAGUAACUCGAAAUAAAAGCUGUGGAAUAAACGGAGACUAGCUAAAGGUGAGAUGACGAUAUGUGUUGGAAGUGUUUCCAAGGUUGAUGUGAUCAAGCAUCGCAUGCUCCCUCUACCAUCGAGAUUUGGUGUUUGCAUUGAACAUGAUUGGAUUAUGUUUAUCGCAAUACGGUUAUUCAUUUAAGGAGAAUAAUGGUUACUCUGUUUAUUUGAAUAAUACCUUCAAUGGUCUUGCACCUAAAAUGAAUCUCGAUCGUAGUGAUACACAUGUUCGUGCCAAAAGAUAUAAAAUAGUAAUGAUAGUACCACAUACUUGUGGCACUGCAAUUUGAGUCAUAUUGGUAUAGAACGCAUGAAGAAGCUCCAUGUAGAUGGAUCUUUGGACUCAGUCGUUUUUGAAAAGAUUGAGACAUGCGAACCAUGUCUAUUGGUAUAUAUGCAUGAAGAAACUCCAUGCAGAUGGAUCGUUUGGACUCACUUGAUUUUGAAUCACUUGAGACAUGCAAAUCAUACCACAUGGGCAAGAUGACUUAAAGUCCUCGUUCUCAGUAAGAUGGAACAAGAGAGCAACUUAUUGGAAGUAAUACAUUUUGAUGUAUGCAGUCCAAUGAGUGCUGAGGCAUGCAGUGGAUAUCGUUAUGUUCUUACUUCACAGAUGAUUUGAGUAGAUGCUGAGUGUAUUUACUUGAUGAAACACAAGUCUGAAUUAUUGAAAGGUUCAAGUAAUUUCAGAGUGAAGUUGAAGAUCGUCAUGACAAGAGGAUAAAAUGUCUGUGAUAUGAUCAUAGAGAUGAGUAUCUGAGUUACGAGUUUGGCACACAAUUAAGACAUUGUGGAAAGUGUUUCACAAUUAAUACCGCCUGGAACACCAUAGUGUGAUGGUGUGUCCGAACAUCAUAACUGCACCUUAUUGGAUAUGGUGCAUACCAUGAUGUCUCUUAUCGAAUUACCACUAUCGUUUAUGGGUUAGGCAUUAGAGAUAACCGCAUUCACUUUAAAAGGGGCACCACGCAAUUCCGUUGAGACGACACCGUUUAGAGAAACCUAAGUUGUCGUUUCUUAAAAGUUUGGGGCUGCGAUGCUUAUGUGAAAAAGUUUCAAGCUGAUAAGCUCGAACCCAAAGCGGAUAAAUGCAUCUUCAUAGAAUACCCAAAACAGUUGGGUAGACCUCCUAUUUCACAUCUGGAAGCAAAAGUAAUUGCUUCUAGAAACAGGUCCUUUUUCGAGGAAGAGUUUCUCUCGAAAGAAUUGAGUGGGAGGAUGGUGGAGACUUGAUAAGGUUAUUGAACCGUCACUUCAACUAGUGUGUAGCAGGGCACAGGAAGUUGUUCCUGUGGCACCUACACCAAUUGAAGUGGAAGCUUAUGAUAUUGAUCAUGAAACUUAGGAUCAAGUCACUACUAAACCUCGUGGGACGACGAGGAUGCGUAAUACUUCAGAGUAGUACGUGAUCCUAUCUUGGAAGUCAUGUUGUUGGACAACAAUGAACCUACGAGCUAUGGGGAAGCGAUGGUGGGCCCAUAUUCCGACAAAUGGUUAGAAGCCAUGAAAUCCGAGAUAAAUGGAUCUUUAAGAAGAAGACGGACGUGGACGGUAAUGUUACCGUCUAUGAAGCUCGACUUGUGGCAAAGAGUAUUUCCACAAGUUCAAGGAGUUGACUACGAUGAGAUUUUCUCAUCCGUAGCGAUGCUUAAGUCCGUCGGAAUCAUGUUAGCAUUAGCUGCAUUUAUGAAAUCUGGCAGAUGGAUGUCAAAACAAGUUUCCUUACCAGUUUUCAUAAGGAAAGGUUGUAUGUGAUACAAUCAGAAAGGUUUUGUCGAUCCUAAGGAUGCUAAAAGGUAUGAUAGAUCCAGCGAUCCUUCCAUGGAUUAGAGCAAGCAUCUCGGAGUCAGAAUAUACACUUUGAUGGAGUGAUCAAAGUUUUUGGGUUUAUACAAAGUUUGUUAGAAACUUGUAUUUACAAUAAAGUGAGUGGGAGCACUACAACAUUUCUGAUAAGUAUAUGUGAAUGACAUAUUGUUGAUCUGAAAUGAUGUAAAAUUUCUGGAAAGCAUAAAGGGUUGUUUGAAAGGAGUUUUUCAAAGGAAGACCUGGAUAAAAGCUGCUUACAUAUUGGGCAUCAAGAUCUAUAGAGAUAGAUCAAGACGCCUGAUGAUACUUUCAAAGAACGCACACCUUGACAUGAUUUUGAAAGAGUUCAAAAUAGAUCAGCAAAGAAGGAGUUCUUGGCUGUGUUACAAGGUGUGAGUAUUGAGUAAGACUCAAGACCUGACCACAGCAGAAGAGAGACAAAGGACGAAGGUCGUCCCCUAUGCUUUAGACGUAGGCUCUACAGUAUGCUAUGUUGUGUACCGCACAUGAAGUGUGCCUUGCCAUGAGUUGGUCAAGGGGUACAAUAGUGAUCCGGGAAUGGAUCAGAUGACAGCGGUCGAACUUAUCCUUAGUAUCUAGUGGACUAAGGAAUUUUCUCGAUUAUGGAGGUGAAAAGGAGUUCGUCGUAAAGGGUUACGUCGAUGCGAACUUUGACACUAAUCCGGAUGACUCUGAGUAGUAAACCGGAUUCGUAUAGUAGAGCAAAUACUUGAAAUGGCUCCAAGUAGCGCGUGGUAGCAUCCACAAGAUGACAUAGAUAUUCGUAAAGCACACACGGAUCUGAAAGGUUCAGACCCGUUGACUAAUAACCUCUCUCGCAAGCAUAACAUGAUCAAACCAGAACUCAUUGAGUGGUAAUCACAUAGUGAUGUGAACUAGAUUGUUGACUCUAGUAAACUCUUUGGAUGUUGGUCACAUGGUGAUCUGACCUAUGAGUGUUAAUCACAUGGUGAUGUGGACUAGAUUAUUGACUCUAGUGCAAGUGGGAGACUGUUGGAAAUAUGCCCUAGAGGCAAUAAUAAAUAGGUUAUUAUUAUAUUUCCUUGUUCAUGAUAAUCGUUUAUUAUCCAUGCUAGAAUUGUAUUGAUAGGAAACUCAGAUGCAUGUGUGGAUACAUAGACAACACCAUGUCCCUAGUAAGCCUCUAGGAGACUAGCUCGUUGAUCAAUAGAUGGUUACGGUUUCCUGACCAUGGACAUUAGAUGUCAUUGAUAACGGGAUCACAUCAUUAGGAGAAUGAUGUGAUGGACAAGACCCAAUCCUAAGCCUAGCACAGAUCGUGUAGUUCGUUUUCUCAGAGCUUUUCUAAUGUCAAGUAUCAGUUCCUUAGACCAUGAGAUUGUGCAACUCCCGGAUACCGUAGGAAUGCUUUGGGUGUACCAAACGUCACAACGUAACUGGGUGGCUAUAAAGGUGCACUACAGGUAUCUCCGAAAGUGUCUGUUGGGUUGGCACGAAUCGAGACUGGGAUUUGUCACUCCGUGUAAACGGAGAGGUAUCUCUGGGCCCACUCGGUAGGACAUCAUCAUAAUGUGCACAAUGUGACCAAGGAGUUGAUCACGGGAUGAUGUGUUACGGAACGAGUAAAGAGACUUGCCGGUAAUGAGAUUGAACAAGGUAUCGGGAUACCGACGAUCGAAUCUCGGGCAAGUAACAUACCGAUAGACAAAGGGAAUUGUAUACGGGAUUGAUUGAAUCCUCGAUAUCGUGGUUCAUCCGAUGAGAUCAUCGAGGAGCAUGUGGGAGCCAACAUGGGUAUCCAGAUCCCGCUGUUGGUUAUUGACCGGAGAGUCGUCUCGGUCAUGUCUGCGUGUCUCCCGAACCCGUAGGGUCUACACACUUAAGGUUCGGUGACGCUAGGGUUGUAGAGAUAUUAGUAUGCGGUAACCCGAAAGUUGUUCGGAGUCCCGGAUGAGAUCCCGGACGUCACGAGGAGUUCCAGAAUGGCCCGGAGGUAAGGAUUUAUAUAUGGGAAGUCUUAUUUUGGUCGCCGGAAAAGUUUCGCACUUUAUCGGUAUUGUACCGGGAGUGCCGAAAGGGGUCCGGGAGUCCACCAAGGGGUCCAUCAGCCCCGGGGGGGCCACAUGGGCUGUGGGGGGUGCGCCUUGGCCUAUAUGAGCCAAGGGAACCAGCCCCAAGAGGCCCAUGCGCCAACAGAUAAGAUAAACGGAGAGUCCUAAAGGGGGAAGGCACCUCCGAGGUGCCUUGGGGAGGAAGGACUCCUCCCUGGCCGCACCCUUCCUUGGAGGAAGGGCCAAGGUUGCGCCCCCCCUCUCCCUUGGCCCUAUAUAUAGUGGGGGGAGGGAGGGCAGCAGCAAUCCAAGCCCUGGCGCCUCCCUCUCCCUCCCGUGACACAUCUCCCUCCUCCCGCAGCGCUUGGCGAAGCCCUGUUGGAGUCCCGCUACUUCCACCACCACGCCGUCGUGCUGCUGGAUCUCCAUCAACCUCUCCUCCCCCCUUGCUGGAUCAAGAAGGAGGAGACGUCGCUGCUCCAUACGUGUGUUGAACGCGGAGGUGCCGUCCGUUCGGCGCUAGGAUCAUCGGUGAUUUGGAUCACGACGAGUACGACUCCAUCAACCCCGUUCUCUUGAACGCUUCCGCAUCGCGAUCUACAAUGGUAUGUAGAUGCACUCCCCUUCCCCUCGUUGCUAGAUUACUCCAUAGAUUGAUCUUGGUGAUGCGUAGAAAAUUUUGAAUUUCUGCUACGUUCCCCAACAAAUAGGACUUGAGAGAAUAUUGAUCUUACCUUUAGCUCCUUGUGGGUUCGACACUCCAUACUUAUCACUUCCAUCUUUGGAAAUUGCUAUGAUGAUUCCUUGCAAUUGGGGAUUAUCAGAGCAGCGAGAAGACGAGCAUAAGAAGAAGCUUCAGAAAGAAGCCAAGAAAGAAAGCAAAAAAGCGGACAAUGUGGAGUCAUCAAGCAAGCCUAAACUCAAGAGGAAAGUUACUUGUUCAUGUUGCAGUGAAGAAGAACACACUAUCAAAACUCGUGAGUCAUUCCUUGAGUACAAGGCUAUGAUGGCUGUUAAUCUUACAACAAAAUGUCAGUUUUGCUCCGAGGAAGGCCACACAAUGCAAUCAUGCAUCCAGUUUAAAGCUGCAAUGGUGAAAGUCGAGGGACAUGCUCAAUAGUUAGAUUAUACUGCUGCAGUUGAAUUCAUGUAUCAGUAACUUGAAGCAUACUUUCGAAAAAGACAUAUUUGUACCAUGUAGUUUUACUGAAUUUUCUGUCAACUUUAUCUGAGAUGUUGGUUCAUGUUACUGCUCAUUAAAACCGCAUAUGCUAAAAAAGUUGAUAUUGCUGCAGAAGUGAGGGUGAAAAAAAAUGAAGCAUUGAUAUUGUGUUUUGUGGGGAAUUAAGAGAGCAUGUAUUUGAAAAGAAAUAUUACACAAUUUCAGUUAUUAAGAAAAAAUGUGUUUCUCAAAAUGUGUUGAUUGCUCAAAAGCAUUGGACAAAAAAUGAGAAUGCUUGUUCUAGCAAGCUAAAAUGCUUCUAGUAUUAUGUCAAAGCUACCAAAAUGCUUCUUCCAACAACAAUUAUCACAAACUGUUGCUCCAAAAAAGAAAAUGUACAAAAAAUGUUUCAUGAGCAUGCUUCCUCUAGCAAUUCCUUAACAUUGUUGCUGACAAAAAGUGGUUGUCGGACAAUUUGUGACAAGAUAAGGCAUCACAUACUAGAAAAACAGACAUGAAAAUAUUUGUAACAAAAACUGAGAAGCAUUCCAUAAAACUUGAAAAGGUUGAGUACCAAGCAGCAAAACUGUUAUAAUUUGCUUCCAACAAACCACCGCACGGUUAUAGCUUCCAAAAAAAUCACCGAAACAUAUAAUUAUGUUUCCUUACUACAAACUACUGAGAACCAUUCCAGCCAAGCAGAGGCUCAUAACUGAUUUGCUUUACAUGGAGUUCAUUUGACACAAAAAAGAACAUAGCACACUACUGGCAACAAUGUAUUUCCAAAAACUACAAAGUUGCAUCUUCAAAACCGCUGCAAUCGCCUUCUUCAAUGCUUGAUGAUCACUUUCUUCAAGCCACUAUGAUCGCCUUGUGCACAUCAGCGGGGCAGACCUUGUUCAACGGAUGGAAAAACAGCUUCGAAGCAAUGGUCUUCCGCACAUCAAGCAUAUUUUGCUGCAUAAGAGAGAAAAUGGUGAAAAGAGAACAAACGUAUAUCGUACAGGCAACACAUGAAAAAGUACCCAAAAAAGCAUGAUUAUCUAUUUUUACCUUCUUAAAAUCUUUCAUCCUCUUGCCGUCGAAAUUUUCCAAGUACAGUGUUGAAAACAAUCCACAAUCAAAGCUGUUUCGUGGUGCCGUUCAAAAAAUGGGUAGAAAAAAGUUAAAGAUUUCUACAUAAAAGGACAUGUAAACACUACUAUUAUGGAGGUGUGUGUGUGAUUAGAGCUCACUGAGUUGCCUGCUGUGGGUAGUCAAGCAGGGGCCAGUUUGGUUUGAAAGAAGAUAAAUCCACUUUGAAAUCUGGCUCUUCCGUAGCGAUCCUCUUGAAAUUGGUAAACUGACAGAAAUAGGAAACAGUGGCAAAAAAAGUAGGGGCUUUGUCAAACAUAAAAGAGUGAUGGUAAAAAAAGCUACAACCACUAAAACUUCAGACACAUUUGGAUUCACCAUCAAGAUUUUGAACACAUGUUCAUUGGGGAUCUGUUUUUUUCAAAUAAUGAACAAUGAAAACUACAGAUAAAAGGAUAAAAUGUCACUUACCAGAUUCCUUGCAGCAACAUCAAAUUUUCCGUUAUCCAAUGAGUCAAACAUGUUGAAUUCCUUGUGCAAGAGGUUAACGACGCAAACAAUCCAAUGGCCAUCGCGAAGGAUGGUGAAGAAAAGCUAGAAAAAGAGUGAAGACAAGAUAGAGGUUAAAUGGAAUAAACUUUAAAGCACAAAAAACUAAAGGAAACACAGAAAUUGAGUAAAAAAAUUGUUGGGAGCAAACUUACUAGGUCAAAAACUGAAAUCUGAAAAUUUUGGCACGCCCUCCUCAGCUCUCUUGCACAAACACUUGGAUCAAAAACUUCUGGGUGGACAGAGAGUUGAAGCUGCAACACACAUGGGCAUAGAAAAACAUAAGAAAAAGUGAUGGAGAAAUUUUGCAAUAGGGCAUACUAAAAAACUCUAGAAAAAUGAUGGCACUAAAUGGGAGCAACAAAAGAUGAACUAACGAUCAUUAAAACAGAGAAAGCAAAUUUCUUCUGCUUAUGUGAAGACGACAACUGUUCAAUGUUGAAGGUUUCGACGAAUAAAGACAUGACUUCGUUGCAUAUCUGAGCGCGUGGCUUCAACGACUUCUGAAAGUUCGUGUAGGUAAUGUGGAAAUCACCAUUCCUAAUGAAAGGAGGCCUGCAACAAGAAGGAUGGAAACCACAGUAGUUAGGAGCGUUUGAAAAGAUGAAAAUGUAAUAAAUAGGAGAUAACAAAAUGGUGGAAGCAAAAUUUAGAGAAGAUGAUACUUACUCAAUUUCCCCUCUCUUCAUCUUCUUCAUCUUGUACCUCUUCAUGACAUAGUACUGGUACAUUGCUUCCGUCUUCGAAUCUGUCUUGAUUUUCUUGUACUUUGAUCCAGCCGACAUUGGACUCCCUAAUCUUUUCUUGCUCUUGAGCUUCUUCUCGUCCUUGCUCUUCAACUUCUCCUCGUUGAGGUCGGGACUUGGUUCCCUGCUGCUAACUAGAACAACUGGCUCUUCUUGUGGUUUUGAUGGUCCAUCUGAAAAAAGUAAAAAAAGAUUUUCCAGAAAAUGUUGUGAGGAGAGAUUUGUUCAAAGAUAAAACAUGGCAGGGCAUACCGGCAGUCCCGCUUGAUAAUGGAGCCACAGAGGUUGGUGUGACAUCAUACACUGGAACUUCUGCUUCUGUUGAGAUUGGAGCCUGAGGAGUGACAUAAAAAACAUCACAAGACUUUGGUGUUGUAACAGUGUUGCCAUGGGUUGGAGCAUUCGAGUUCGCAUCUACAUUUGGGACACUGAUCCACCACUCAUAUUCCUCAGUGCCCUCUUGGAACACACUCAUUGAUGGAACAUCACUCCAAUGUCCAGCCACACUAGUCGGCACAGAGUGAUUGCGCUGGCUGAGUUGGUGACCAUGCUCAGUAUCUUCACCACUGGACACUUUCUCCUUUGCAGUCUCAAAACAUUGUGCAAGGUUCUCACUGACAACAGCACUAGUUCCUAUGCCCAGCUCAACCACAUCGCCUCCAUUAGGCUCAUGAACAAUGCUACUUGCACAGUUGCUUCGAGCUCCUUCAGCUGGCUCAAACACCUUGUCAGUUGUUGGCUCAUCUACGACCUUCUCCCUAGAACUUUCCUUGCUACAACCAUGACCAUCUGACUUGUCUACAACAUUGCUGUGAGGAAGCGAUACAUCAAAGGUAACAUCCACUGCUUCUUGAGAACUUGACGAAGCAACAUGAACAUCUUUGAGAAGCUGCUCCAUUCGCUUGCAAUGUAUUGCUUGCAACACUUGCCUGUAAGAACUUGGAGCCCCUUUUAACUUUGCAUCAUAUAGUUUUGUGUGCUUGUCGUAGAUUGCAGCCAUAUGUGAUGGGAGCUGAAAAAAUGUAUGGCAAAAUGAAGUGACAGUCGUCAGUAGGGAUGCAACUUACCAUAUGAUGGAACUAAAAAAAUAUAAAAUGUAGAAAGGUAUGUGACAAAAUUAAACAACAAAAAUAAAAACAACAAAAAAAAUCUCACCUCAAGCACUGCCCCAAAUGGUGCCGGGUUUUGAAGGCAAUCAUCCAGCGAACCACACACAUCUUCGUCGGUGCUUUUGCCAUUAUCCGUUGGGUUGCUACCUUCCGUAGGGUUCUCUUCUCAGCCACGUCAUCUUGGUUAUCAUUAAUGUUUAUAUUUCCAGCUCCACAAUCUUGAGUAUCAUCACAAUCCGGGCUGUCCGAAACCUGCUGAUCUUGAGCAACUUCACUGUUGUUGCCUACCGGGCCUUGGGCAGGCAAUGCUGCGUAUGGUAUCUUUGACAGAGGGCGAAACUACAGGACACAAAGCAAAAAGAAACAAGAAUUAAACCAUGAGUACACAAGCAAAAAUAAAGAAGGUAAAAAUUGGGAAGAAACAAUGCUGCAAUGGAUGAGGGAAGUAAACCACACAAAAAACUUACACGACACUUCCCGAAUGAGCCUUUGCCCAAAGAAAGCUUAUUCUUGUCAAAGUCCAACACAAGAUCAAAGUCAAUCUGAUGCACAAAGCAAGCCCUUGGAAGAGAAUAAUUCAAUUGGUGCUCGUUGAUGGCAGCUUGAAGAAAUAUCAAAUGGUCCAUGUAAAUAACGUGAAUAAGAAGACUGUUGGAAAUAUGCCCUAGAGGCAAUAAUAAAUGGUUAUUAUUAUAUUUCUUUGUUCAUGGUAAUUGUCUAUUAUUCAUGCUAUAAUUGUAUUGUCCGGAAAUCGUAAUACAUGUGUGAAUACAUAGACCACAACUUGUCCCUAGUAAGCCUCUAGUUGACUAGCUCGUUGAUCAACAGAUAGUCAUGGUUUCCUGACUAUGGACAUUGGAUGUCAUUGAUAACAGGAUCACAUCAUUAGGAGAAUGAUGUGAUGGACAAGACCCAAUCUUAAGCAUAGCAUAAAAGAUCGUGUAGUUUCGUUUGCUAGAGCUUUUCCAAUGUCAAGUAUCUUUUCCUUAGACCAUGAGAUCGUGCAACUCCCGGAUACCGUAGGAGUGCUUUGGGUGUGCCAAACGUCAUAACGUAACUGGGUGACUAUAAAGGUGCAUUACGGGUAUCUCCGAAAGUGUCUGUUGGGUUGGCACGGAUCGAGACUGGGAUUUGUCACUCCGUGUGACGGAGAGGUAUCUCUGGGCCCACUCGGUAAUGCAUCAUCAUAAUGAGCUCAAUGUGACUAAGGCGUUAGUCACGGGAUCAUGCAUUGCGGUACGAGUAAAGAGACUUGCCGGUAACGAGAUUGAACAAGGUAUUGGGAUACCGACGAUCGAAUCUCGGGCAAGUAACAUACCGAUUGACAAAGGGAAUUGCAUACGGAUUGAUUGAAUCCUCGACACCGUGGUUCAUCCGAUGAUAUCAUCGUGGAACAUGUGGGAGCCAACAUGGGUAUCCAGAUCCCGCUGUUGGUUAUUGACCGGAGAGGCGUCUCGGUCAUGUCUGCAUGUCUCCCGAACCCGUAGGGUCUACACACUUAAGGUCCGGUGACGCUAGGGUUGUAGAGAUAUAUGUAUGCGGAAACCCGAAAGUUGUUCGGAGUCCCGGAUGAGAUCCCGGACGUCACGAGAGGUUCCGGAAUGGUCCGGAGGUAAAGAUUUAUAUAUGGGAAGUCUUAUUUUGGUCGCCGGAAAAGUUUCGCGCUUUAUCGGUAUUGUACCGGGAGUGCCGAAAGGGGUCCGGGGGUCCACCAGCCCCGGGGGGCCACAUGGGCUGUAAGGGGUGCACCUUGGCCUAUAUGGGCCAAGGGCACCAGCCCCAAGAGGCCCAUGCGCAAGAGAUAAGAAAAAAAAGGGAGAGUCCUAAAGGGGGAAGGCACCUCCGAGGUGCCUUGGGGGGGAAGGACUCCCCCCUGGCCGCACCCUUCCUUGGAGGAAGGGGCAAGGCUGCGCCCCUCCCCUCUCCCUUGGCCCUAUAUAUAGUGGGGGGAAGGGAGGGCAGCAACAUCUAAGCCUUGGGCGCCUCCCUCCUCCCCUGCAACACCUCUCUCUCUCUCUCUCGCACAAGCUUGCGAAGCCCUGCAGGAGACCCGCUACAUCCACCACCACGCCGUCGUGCUGUUGGAUCUCCAUCAACCUCUCCUCCCCCCUUGCUGGAUCAAGAAGGAGGAGACGUUGCUGCGCCGUACGUGUGUUGAACGCGGAGGUGCCGUACGUUCGGCACUCGAUCAUCGGUGAUUUGGAUCACGGCGAGUACGACUCCGUCAUCCACGUUCAUUGGAACGCUUCCGCUCGCGAUCUACAAGGGUAUGUAGAUGCACUCCUUCCCUUCGUUGCUAGUAGACUCCAUAGAUGCAUCUUGGUGAGCGUAGGAAAUUUUUAAAUUAUGCUACGAUUCCCGACAGUGGCAUCAUGAGCCAGGUCUAUGCGUAGUUACUAUGCACGAGUAGAACACAAAGUAGUUGUGGGCGUUGAGUUUGCCAAUUCUUCUUGCCGCUACUAGUCUUUUCUUGUUUCGGCGGCAUUGUAGGAUGAAGCGGCCCAGACCGACCUUACACGUACUCUUACGUGAGACAGGUUCCACCGACUGACAUGCACUAGAUGCAUAAGGUGGCUAGCGGGUGUCUGUCUCUCCUACUUUAGUCGGAACAGAUUCGAUGAAAAGGGUCCUUAUGAAGGGUAAAUAGAAAUUGGCAAAUCACGUUGUGGUCAUACGUAGGUAAGAAACGUUCUUGCUAGAAACCUACAAACCACGUAAAAACUUGCAACAACAAUUAGAGGACGUCUAACUUGUUUUUGCAGCAAGUGCUAUGUGAUGUGAUAUGGCCAGAAGAUGUGAUGAAUGAUAUAUGUGAUGUAUGAGAUUGAUCAUAUUCUUGUAAUAGGAAUCACGACUUGCAUGUCGAUGAGUAUGACAACCGGCAGGAGCCAUAGGAGUUGUCUUUAUUAUUUUGCAUGACCUGCGAGUCAUUGAAUAACGCCAUGUAAAUUACUUUACUUUGUUGCUAAACGAGUUGGCCAUAGAAGUAGAAGUAAUCUUUGGCGUGACAACUUCAUGAAGACACAAUGAUGGAGAUCAUGGUGUCAUGCCGGUGACAAAGAUGAUCAUGGUGCCCCGAAGAUGGAGAUCAAAGGAGCAUGAUGAUAUUGGCCAUAUCAUGUCACUAUUUGAUUGCAUGUGAUGUUUAUCAUGUUUUUGCAUCUUAUUUGCUUAGAACGACGGUAGCAAGUAGGAUGAUCCCUUAUAAUAAUUUCAAGAAAGUGUUCACCCUAACUGUGCACCGUUGCGAAGGUUCGUCGUUUCGAAGCACCACGUGAUGAUCGGGUGUGAUAGAUUCUUACGUUCGAAUACAACGGGUGUUGACGAGCCUAGCAUGUACAGACAUGGCCUCGGAACACACGCAAUACACUUAGGUUGACUUGACGAGCCUAGCAUGUACAGACAUGGCCUCGGAACACGGAGGACCGAAAGGUCGAGCAUGAGUUGUAUAGAAGAUACGAUCAACAUGGAGAUGUUCACCGAUCUUGACUAGUCCGUCUCACGUGCUGAUCGGACACGGCCUAGUUGAACUCGGAUCAUGUUUCACUUAGAUGACUAGAGGGAUGUCUAUCUGAGUGGGAGUUCAUAAUCAGAUGAACUUCAUUAUCAUGAACAUAGUCAAAAAGUAUUUGCAAAUUAUGUCAUGGCUUGCGCUUUAGUUCUACUGGUUAAGAUAUGUUCCUAGAGAAAAUUUAGUUGAAAGUUGGUAGUAGCAAUUAUGCGGACUGGGUCCGUAAACUGAGGAUUGUCCUCAUUGCUGCACAGAAGGCUUAUGUCCUUAAUGCACCGCUCGGUGUGCUGAACCUCAGCGUCGUCUGUAGAUGUUACAAAAACAUAUGACAUACACGUUUUGAUAACUACGUGAUAGUUCGGUGCGGUUUAGAAUUGUGGCACCAAAGACGUUUCUGAAACAUCGCAGAACAUGUGAGAUGUUCCGAAGACUGAAAUUGAGAUUUCAGACUAGUGCCCACGUCAAGAGGUAUGAGACCUCUGACAAGUUUCUUAAAGCCUGCAAACUAAGGGAGAAAAGCUCAAUCGUUGAGCGUGUGCUCAGAUUGUCUGAGUGCCACAAUCGCUUGAAUCGAGUGGGAGUUAAUCUCCCAGAUGAGAUAGUGAUAGUUCUCCAUAGUCACUGCCACCAAGCUAGUAGAGCUUCGUGAUGAACUAUAACAUAUCAAGGAUAGUUAUGAUGAUCCUUGAGCUAUUCGCGAUGUUUGACACCGCGAGAGUAGAAAUCAAGAAGGAGCAUCAAUUGUUGAUGGUUAGUAAAACCACUAGUUUAAGAAGGGCAAGGGCAAAAGGGAUACUUCAUGAAACAGCAAGUCGUUUGCUGCUCUAGUGAAUAAUCCCAAGGUUGAACCCAAACCCGAGACUAAGUGCUUCUGUAAUGAGAGGAACGGUCACUGAAGCAGUACUACCCUAGAUACUUGGUAGAUGAGAAGGCAGGCAAAGUCGACAAAGUAUAUUGGAUAUACGUUAUAUGAAUGUGUACUUUACUAGUACUCCUAGCAGCACCAGGGUAUUAGAUACUGGUUCGGUUGCUAAGUGUUAGUAACUCGAAAUAAAAGCUGCGGAAUAAAUGGAGACUAGCUAAAGGUGAGAUGACGAUAUGUGUUGGAAGUGUUCCAAGGUUGAUGUGAUCAAGCAUCGCAUGCUCCCUCUACCAUCGAGAUUUGGUGGUUGCGCUGAACAUGAUUGGAUUAUGUUUACCGCAAAACGGUUAUUCAUUUAAGGAGAAUAAUGGUUACUCUGUUUACUUGAAUAAUACCUUCAAUGGUCUUGCACCUAAAAUGAAUCUCGAUCAUAGUGAUACACAUGUUCAUGCCAAAAGAUAUAAGAUAGUAAUGAUAGUACCACAUACUUGUGGCACUGCCACUUGAGUCAUAUUGGUGUAGAACGCAUGAAGAAGCUCCAUGUAGGUGGAUCUUUGGACUCACUCAUUUUUGAAAAGAUUGAGACAUGCGAACCAUGUCUAUUGGUAUAUAUGCAUGAAGAAACUCCAUACAGAUGGAUCGUUUGGACUCACUUGAUUAUGAAUCACUUGAGACAUGCAAAUCAUACCACAUGGGCAAGAUGACUGAAAGGCCUCGUUUUCAGUGAGAUGGAACAAGAGAGCAAUUUAUUGGAAGUAAUACAUUUUGAUGUAUGCAGUCCAAUGGAUGCUGAGGCAUGCAGUGGAUAUCGUUAUGUUCUUACUUCACAGAUGAUUUGAGUAGAUGCUGAGUGUAUUUACUUGAUUAAACACUAGUCUGAAUUAUUGAAAGGUUCAAGCAAUUUCAGAGUGAAGUUAAAGAUCGUCGUGACAAGAGGAUAAAAUGUCUGUGAUAUGAUCAUAGAGAUGAGUAUCUGAGAUACGAGUUUGGCACACAAUUGAGACAUUGUGGAAAGUGUUUCACAAUUAAUACCGCCUGGAACACCAUAGUGUGAUGGUGUGUCCGAACAUCAUAACUGCACCCUAUUGGAUAUGGUGCAUACCAUGUUGUUUCUUAUCAAAUUACCACUAUCAUUUAUGGGUUAGGCAUUAGAGACAACCGCAUUCACUUUAAAAGGGGCACCACGCAAUUCCGUUGAGACGACACUGUUUAUAGAAACCUAAGUUGUCGUUUCUUAAAAGUUUGGGGCUGCGAUGCUUAUGUGAAAAAGUUUCAGGCUGAUAAGCUCGAACCCAAAGCGGAUAAAUGCAUCUUCAUAGAAUACCCAAAAACAGUUGGGUAUACCUCCUAUCUGGAAGCAAAAGUAAUUGCUUCUAGAAACGAGUCCUUUCUCGAGGAAAAGUUUCUCUCGAAAGAAUUGAGUGGGAGGAUGGUGGAGACUUGAUAAGGUUAUUGAACCGUCGCUUCAACUAGUGUGUAGCAGGGCACAGGAAGUUGUUCCUGUGGCACCUACACCAAUUGAAGUGGAAGCUUAUGAUAGUGAUCAUGAAACUUCGGAUCAAGUCACUACCAAACCUCGUAGGAUGACGAGGAUGCGCACUACUUCAGAGUAAUGCGUGAUCCUGUCUUGGAAGUCAUGUUGCUAGACAACAAUGAACCUACGAGCUAUGGAGAAGCGAUGGUAGACCCAUAUUCCGACGAAUGGCUCGAGGCCAUGAAAUCCGAGAUAGAAUCCAUGUAUCAGAACAAAGCAUGGACUUUGGUGAACUUGCCCGAUGAUCGGCAAGCCAUUGAGAUAAAUGGAUCUUUAAGAAGAAGACAGACAUGGACGGUAAUGUUACCUUCUAUGAAGCUCGACUUGUGGCAAAGAGUAUUUUCACAAGUUCAAGGAGUUGACUACGAUGAGUUUUUCUCAUCCGUAGCGAUGCUUAGGUCCGUCGGAAUCAUGUUAGCAUUAGCUGCAUUUAUGAAAUCUGGCAGAUGGAUGUCAAAACAAGUUUCCUUACUAGUUUUCGUAAGGAAAGGUUGUAUGUGAUACAAUCAGAAAGGUUUUGUCAAUCCUAAGGAUGCUAAAAGGUAUGCUAGCUCCAGCGAUCCUUCUAUGGAUUAGAGCAAGCAUCUCGGAGUCAAAAUAUACGCUUUGAUGGAGCGAUCAAAGUUUUUGGGUUUAUACAAAGUUUGUUAGAAACUUGUAUUUACAAUAAAGUGAGUGGGAGCGCUACAACAUUUCUGAUAAGUAUAUGUGAAUGACAUAUUGAUGAUCCGAAAUGAUGUAAAAUUUCUGGAAAGCAUAAAGGGUUGUUUGAAAGGAGUUUUUCAAAGGAAGACAUGGAUAAAGCUGCUUACAUAUUGGGCAUCAAGAUCUAUAGAGGUAGAUCAAGACGCUUGAUGAUACUUUCAAAGAACGCACACCUUGACAUGAUUUUGAAAGAGUUCAAAAUAGAUCAGCAAAGAAGGAGUUCUUGGCUGUGUUACAAGGUGUGAGUAUUGAGUAAGACUCAAGACCUGACCACAGAAGAAGAGAGAGAAAGGACGAAGGUCGUCCCCUAUGCUUCAGACGUAGGCUCUACAGUAUGCUAUGCUGUGUACCGCACAUGAAGUGUGCCUUGCCAUGAGUUGGUCAAGGGGUACAAUAGCGAUCCGGGAAAGGAUCACAUGACAGCGGUCGAACUUAUCCUUAGCACCUAGUGGAUUAAGGAAUUUUCUCGAUUAUGGAGGUGGAAAGGAGUUCGUCGUAAAGGGUUACGUCGAUGUGAACUUUGACACUAAUCCGGAUGACUCUGAGUAGUAAACCGGAUUCGUAUAGUAGAGCAAUUAUUUGAAAUGGCUCCAAAUAGCGCGUGGUAGCAUCCACAAGAUGACAUAGAUAUUCGUAAAGCACACGGUUCUGAAAGGUUCAGACCCGUUGACUAAUAACCUCUCUCACAAGCAUAACAUGACCAAACCAGAACACAUUGAGUGAUAAUCACAUAGUGAUGUGAACUAGAUCGUUGACUCUAGUAAACUCUUUAGAUGUUGGUCACAUGGUGAUGUGACCAGUGAGUGUUAAUCACAUGGUGAUGCGAACUAGAUUAUUGACUCUAGUGCAAGUGGGAGACUGUUGGAAAUAUGCCCUAGAGGCAAUAAUAAAUGGUUAUUAUUAUAUUUCUUUGUUCAUGGUAAUUGUCUAUUAUUCAUGCUAUAAUUGUAUUGUCCGGAAAUCGUAAUACAUGUGUGAAUACAUAGACCACAACCUGUCCCUAGUAAGCCUCUAGUUGACUAGCUCGUUGAUCAACAGAUAGUCAUGGUUUCCUGACUAUGGACAUUGGAUGUCAUUGAUAACGGGAUCACAUCAUUAGGAGAAUGAUGUGAUGGACAAGACCCAAUCUUAAGCAUAGCAUAAAAGAUCGUGUAGUUUCGUUUGCUAGAGCUUUUCCAAUGUCAAGUAUCUUUUCCUUAGACCAUGAGAUCGUGCAACUCCCGGAUACCGUAGGAGUGCUUUGGGUGUGCCAAACGUCACAACGUAACUGGGUGACUAUAAAGGUGCACUACGGGUAUCUCCGAAAGUGUUUGUUGGGUUGGCAUGGAUCGAGACUGGGAUUUGUCACUCCGUGUGACGGAGAGGUAUCUCUGGGCCCACUCGGUAAUGCAUCAUCAUAAUGAGCUCAAUGUGACUAAGGCGUUAGUCACGGGAUCAUGCAUUGCGGUACGAGUAAAGAGACUUGCCGGUAACGAGAUUGAACAAGGUAUUGGGAUACCGGCGAUCGAAUCUCGGGCAAGUAACAUACCGAUUGACAAAGGGAAUUGCAUACGGAUUGAUUGAAUCCUCGACACCGUGGUUCAUCCGAUGAGAUCAUCGUGGAACAUGUGGGAGCCAACAUGGGUAUCCAGAUCCCGCUGUUGGUUAUUGACCGGAGAGGCGUCUCGGUCAUGUCUGCAUGUCUCCCGAACCCGUAGGGUCUACACACUUAAGGUCCGGUGACGCUAGGGUUGUAGAGAUAUAUGUAUGCGGAAACCCGAAAGUUGUUCGGAGUCCCGGAUGAGAUCCCGGACGUCACGAGAGGUUCCGGAAUGGUCCGGAGGUGAAGAAUUAUAUAUAGGAAGUCCAGUUUUGGCCACCGGGAAAGUUUCGGGGGUUAUCGGUAUUGUACCGGGACCACCGGAAGGGUCCCGGGGGUCCACCGGGUGGGGCCACCUGUCCCGGAGGGCCCCGUGGGCUGAAAGUGGAGGGGAACCAGCCCCUAGUGGGCUGGGGCGCCACCUUGGGCCUCCCCCUCAUGCGCCUAGGGUUGGAAACCCUAGGGGGGAGUUCCCCCUUGCCUUGGGGGGCAAGGCAACCCCUUCCCCCCUUGGCCGCCGCCCCCCCCCUUGGAGAUCCCAUCUCCUAGGGCUGCGCACCCCCCUUGGGGGCCUAUAUAAAAGGGGGGGAGGGAGGGCAGCACACUACAGCCUUUGGCGCCUCCCUCCUCCCCUGCAACACCUCUCUCUCUCGCGCAGAAGCUCGGCGAAGCCCUGCCGGAGAGCCGCUACAUCCACCACCACGCCGUCGUGCUGUUGGAUCUCCAUCAACCUCUCCUCCCCCCUUGCUGGAUCAAGAAAGGAGGAGACGUCGCUGCACCGUACGUGUGUUGAACGCGGAGGUGCCGUACGUUCGGCACUCGGUCAUCGGUGAUUUGGAUCACGGCGAGUACGACUCCGUCAUCCACGUUCAUUGGAACGCUUCCGCUCGCGAUCUACAACGGUAUGUAGAUGCACUCCCUUCCCCUCGUUGCUAGUAGACUCCAUAGAUGCAUCUUGGUGAGCGUAGGAAAAUUUUAAAAUUAUGCUACGAUUCCCAACAGUGGCAUCAUGAGCCAGGCCUAUGCGUAGUUACUAUGCACGAGUAGAACACAAAGCAGUUGUGGGCGUUGAGUUUGCCAAUUCUUCUUGCCGCUACUAGUCGUUUCUUGUUUCGGCGGCAUUGUAGGAUGAAGCGGCCCGGACCGACCUUACACGUACGCUUACGUGAGACUGGUUCCACCGACUGACAUGCACAAGUUGCAUAAGGUGGCUAGCGGGUGUCUGUCUCUCCUACUUUAGUUGGAACGGAUUCGAUGAAAAGGGUCCUUAUGAAGGGUAAAUAGAAAUUGGCAAAUCACGUUGUGGUCAUACGUAGGUAAGAAACGUUCUUGCUAGAAACCUACAAACCACGUAAAAACUUGCAACAACAAUUAGAGGACGUCUAACUUGUUUUUGCAGCAAGUGCUAUGUGAUGUGAUAUGGCCAGAAGAUGUGAUGUAUGAGAUUGAUCAUAUUCUUGUAAUAGGAAUCACGACUUGCAUGUCGAUGAGUAUGACAACCGGCAGGAGCCAUAGGAGUUGUCUUUAUUAUUUUGCAUGACCUGCGUGUCAUUGAAUAACGCCAUGUAAAUUACUUUACUUUGUUGCUAAACGCGUUAGCCAUAGAAGUAGAAGUAAUCGUUGGCGUGACGACUUCAUGAAGACACAAUGAUGGAGAUCAUGAUGAUGGAGAUCAUGGUGUCAUGCCGGUGACGAAGAUGAUCAUGGUGCCCCGAAGAUGGAGAUCAAAGGAGCAUGAUGAUAUUGGCCAUAUCAUGUCACUAUUUGAUUGCAUGUGAUGUUUAUCAUGUUUUUGCAUCUUAUUUGCUUAGAACGACGGUAGUAAGUAAGAUGAUCCCUUAUAAUAAUUUCAAGAAAGUGUUCACCCUAACUGUGCACCGUUGCGAAGGUUCGUUGUUUCGAAGCACCACGUGAUGAUCGGGUGUGAUAGAUUCUAACGUUCGAAUACAACGGGUGUUGACGAGCCUAGCAUGUACAGACAUGGCCUCGGAACACACGCAAUACACUUAGGUUGACUUGACGAGCCUAGAAUGUACAGACAUGGCCUCGGAACACGGAGGACCGAAAGGUCGAGCAUGAGUCGUAUAGAAGAUACGAUCUGUUGGAAAUAUGCCCUAGAGGCAAUAAUAAAUGGUUAUUAUUAUAUUUCUGUGUUCAUGAUAAUAGUCUUUUAUUCAUGCUAUAAUUGUAUUGUCCGGAAAUCGUAAUACAUGUGUGAAUACAUAGACCACAACCUGUCCCUAGUAAGCCUCUAGUUGACUAGCUCGUUGAUCAACAGAUAGUCAUGGUUUCCUGACUAUGGACAUAGGAUGUCAUUGAUAACGGGAUCACAUCAUUAGGAGAAUGAUGUGAUGGACAAGACCCAACUUAAGCAUAGCAUAAAAGAUCGUGUAGUUUCGUUUGCUAGAGCUUUUCCAAUGUCAAGUAUCUUUUCCUUAGACCAUGAGAUCGUGCAACUCCCGGAUACCGUAGGAGUGCUUUGGGUGUGCCAAACGUCACAACGUAACUGGGUGACUAUAAAGGUGCAUUACGGGUAUCUUCGAAAGUGUCUGUUGGGUUGGCACGGAUCGAGACUGGGAUUUGUCACUCCGUGUGACGGAGAGGUAUCUCUGGGCCCACUCGGUAAUGCAUCAUCAUAAUGAGCUCAAUGUGACUAAGGCGUUAGUCACGGGAUCAUGCAUUGCGGUACGAGUAAAGAGACUUGCCGGUAACGAGAUUGAACAAGGUAUUGGGAUACCGACGAUCGAAUCUCGGGCAAGUAACAUACCGAUUGACAAAGGGAAUUGCAUACGGAUUGAUUGAAUCCUCGACACCAUGGUUCAUCCGAUGAUAUCAUCGUGGAACAUGUGGGAGCCAACAUGGGUAUCCAGAUCCCGCUGUUGGUUAUUGACCGGAGAGGCGUCUCGGUCAUGUCUGCAUGUCUCCCGAACCCGUAGGGUCUACACACUUAAGGUCCGGUGACGCUAGGGUUGUAGAGAUAUAUGUAUGCGGAAACCCGAAAGUUGUUCGGAGUCUCGGAUGAGAUCCCGGACAUCACGAGAGGUUCCGGAAUGGUCCGGAGGUAAAGAUUUAUAUAUGGGAAGUCUUAUUUUGGUCGCCGGAAAAGUUUCGCGCUUUAUCGGUAUUGUACCGGGAGUGCCGAAAGGGGUCCGGGGGUCCACCAGCCCCGGGGGGGCCACAUGGGCUGUAAGGGGUGCACCUUGGCCUAUAUGGGCCAAGGGCACCAACCCCAAGAGGCCCAUGCGCAAGAGAUAAGAAAAAAAGGGAGAGUCCUAAAGGGGGAAGGCACCUCCGAGGUGCCUUGGGGGGGAAGGACUCCCCCUUGGCCGCACCCUUCCUUGGAGGAAGGGGCAAGGCUGCGUCCCCCCCCUCUCCCUUGGCCCUAUAUAUAGUGGGGGGAAGGGAGGGCAGCAACAUCUAAGCCUUGGGCGCCUCCCUCCUCCCCUGCAACACCUCUCUCUCUCUCUCUCUCUCUCUCUCUCUCUCGCAGAAGCUCGCGAAGCCCUGCCGGAGACCCGCUACAUCCACCACCACGCCGUCGUGCUGUUGGAUCUCCAUCAACCUCUCCUCCCCCCUUGCUGGAUCAAGAAGGAGGAGACGUUGCUGCGCCGUACGUGUGUUGAACGCGGAGGUGCCGUACGUUCGGCACUCGAUCAUCGGUGAUUUGGAUCACGGCGAGUACGACUCCGUCAUCCACGUUCAUUGGAACGCUUCCGCUCGCGAUCUACAAGGGUAUGUAGAUGCACUCCUUCCCUUCGUUGCUAGUAGACUCCAUAAUGCAUCUUGGUGAGCGUAGGAAAUUUUUAAAUUAUGCUACGAUUCCCAACAAAGACAAAAUAUAAUAUAUCACACACAAUAAGAAAAAGAUGUGCUUACAGAAAACAAAAACAUGUCGCGAUAGAUAGAAAAAUUCCAAAAAGAAAGAAGUAUACCGCGAGCAUAGGGAAGCAGCCCCCAACCCAGAAUGAAGAAGUAGCCUGUGAUUUUAUCUUGUCCUGGCACUUCUUGACCUCUCUCAUUGCAACACUUAAAACAUGUUCAUCCCAAGCAAAUUCAGUAACCUUGUCCAUUUCUUCAAGGCUUUCCAAGUACUCUAGUGGCACCAUGUUGCCAGUGCUUGGAUUUAAAACUGUUGCAAGCGCUAAGAGCACCCAUGACCUCUUCGUAGUAUCGCCAUCAUCAUUCCUAGCUCGAUGAAGCACAUCCACUGUAUGCGCAAUUGAAGCCCUGCCAUUCUUGUGAUAAAUGUUGUGGAGCUCACAAUGCUCAUGUCUCUUGAAAAGCUCAACUGGUCUGUUGCCUGAUGGGAUAUUGAAAACCUUCUUCACCAUGUCUCGAGUAAACACAAUGACCUUAGUCCGACUCAGCCUGAAAACCCCAAAAAAUGUAUUCAUUGGUUGCUAUCAACAUGACCUAAAAAAGAAAGAAAGUAUAUGUUGCAGACAUGAUGCAUGAGAAAAAAGGAAUAAGAAAGGAGGUGGGUGCAAUACCUGAGCUCACGACUGUCAGUGUCAAUGUUCAUUGUUAACCAUUCCAUCAGAUCAUGUGGCACUGUGAAAGGCGAGAUGCUCGUGAGAUCACCGAAGGCAGUUUCAUUUAUGUAGCGCCUCUUGCUAGGAUUAAGUUUUAUCUUCGCAACUUCGCGCAAGUGUUUUGCUGUGAAACGUUGGCUGAAUGCAGUAUCAGACUCCAUUACUUCUUCGUCUGACAUGUAGCUGCAAAAAUCAAAAUGAAUAAAAAAUGUAUUGGGUACAAACACCAUUGUACAAUUACUACAGAAAGUGAUGGGCAUUCGAUUCCAGCAUACUCAACAUCUACCAAGCAUAACAAUGAAGCAAAAAAAUGAGCAUUCCUUUCUUGCAAUUACUUAAGAGUGGGUAAAUCCAGAAAAACUAAACAAUUAGCCGUGCGACACAAUCAAGUCAAAGAAAAAAGUCUAAAACAAUUACAUGCAGCAAAACACUAUAAGAUGGAAAAAUCUUGUCUGAAUAUAGAAAUAAAACAAACAAUAAGGCUCUGACUACACUGACUUUCAUCUAAAAAACCUAAUCUAAACAACAAAUACAGGAAGAAAACCAUAACUUGACUAACCAAAUAGCAGCAUCACAAAAAAGACCAUUGAGAAUCUAGUCCUCCAACUCUGAAAUCUCAUCCCCUACCUAUAAAAAUCUCGUCCCCUACCUCUAAAAUCUCAACUAUAAAACCUAGCUACAACAUGGAACCAAAUUAAUCCGAUCUACACAACAAACCCUAGAUUAAAUGGGGGAUGAAUUUGGCGGCAUGAAGGGAGUAGCGGCUCAACUGAAACCCCUGAACAAACAACAGAUCUAUACUAUGCAUUCGACCCGGAUGUACUCAUCCAACGCUGGAAACUGCUGGGAUUAACUGCGAAAUGAACCGCUAAAAGGAAAUCAUGCAAGCGGAGGAGAAAAAUGCUGCGAACUGCAGGGCACCAUACCUCUCGUCCGCCGCUGCAACUACAGGGGGGUCGUGUAGCUCGGCGCCGUGGCCGACGGUGCUCACUACCGCCCGAACCUCCGGUUCCCUUGUCGUCCCGGCAACAUCCAUCUCUCCCACCCCCGCCAUGAUUCUGGAUCUCGCAGUCGCCUGCGUUGUUGCCAAAGCUAGAGAGGGAUGGGGAUGAAAGCAGAUGGGACGACCGAGCUCACGAGGGUGGGAGCAAAAAAAACACCUAGGGCACGCGCGUCCACACCCCCGUCAGAAAGCAUCCUGACCGUACGAUGCGCCGCGAUCCGACGGCGCGCGAGACGGUCGCUUGGACGGCUGCGUGCAUCCGGAUGAGAAUGAGUGUUUUCCAAGUGAAUACUGCUCCCUGUGCGUGUUAAAUUGCCCCAUUCUUGACAUAGAAAAAGCAAAAACGACAUAAGGAAGAUCUUAUGUUUUUUAGUAUGUUCUUGAAUCAUACUGUAUUAAUUUAGCGAUCUAUAUGGGGCAAGAGUGUUGGACAUACAAUGUUGAAAAUGAAUAAAUUAUAGAAAGAAAUUUUGGAGUACUACUUACAAAUGGAGUGCAUUUAAAGAAAUUAAAAACGUGCACACAACACAAGUAUGAUUGAAAGUAAGGCAACAAACAGAAAUUCUCGAGAAAAAAACAAGCGGACAUUCUCAGAAUCAAAAGGCAUUGUAUCAAAUCUAGAAUUCUCUCAUCCAUUUUGUGCUUUCUCGCUUGCUUCUUGCAUUACCAUUUUUAAAGCCUGCGUAGAUCUCUUAGUAAAACCUUCUUUGAUUUGGUUCUUUCAGUAAGAUACCGAACAUGCUCUCUUUGGCGACGACAAGAUGUGAGGAGGAGGGAGAGUUGGCAGUGAAGGUAGGUUUAGGUCACCGCCCGUGUCGCCCAUGGGGAACGACGCGGGAAAGGAGCAUUUUUUCGGCGGAGCUUUCUUUUUUAACAAGAUAGCCAUGGCAUAGGCAUACAUCGCCAAGUCCCGUGACUCUGCCGUUGACCUAUGUCUAGCACCCAAAAAUGCUAUGCCCACAUAAUUUUUACUAAAAGCUACUAAACCUUCCAUCCCUAACUAAUACACCCCCGCUCCAUUUUCGGGGGAUGGGCCCGCCUCACUUUUCUUAACCAAUAAAAUCUUUCCAGCUAAGAUCCUUCGUAAGGAAAUAUUUUACGCAGGUGUAGUGUUGUCCGUCUAGCACCUGCUUCGUCUGCUCCUCCGAGAUGUAACUUUCCAUUCUUUUUUUUGUUGAGACUUUGCGUGGCCUACGUGCCUGUUUACCCGACCCUUGUGGUUUGUUCUUGGCUUGUAUGCCGGUGACUUAACUGAUACUCUAUGUCGUUUGUUGGAUGACUCGUUGGUUUGACUUUAUUUAUAAAGUCGGACGCUAUGCCUUUUCUUAAAAAAAAUAGUCAUUAAGCGUCUUUGAUUUAGUACAACAGCGAUCACACGCUUGGAUGAUAAGUAUUUCGCCAUGCGAUUUUCUGGUUGAAGAAAUUCAGGAAACACCAAAAGUCAAUCAAAACCGAUUCAUCGCGCGAAAAAGAAGAAUAUCAAAUCGGUUCCGGCUGCAGUAACUUGACGCAUUCUCCCUGUCCAGUAAACGAAAAAGAAGACCUUGCACAGGAGAUGGUCUUAGUUACCAACUGGAUUUCAAAGAAGACACCACUCGGCCAAGACAAAGAGAACCAGCGUUUCCUCAAAAGCCUUGCACCAACCAGUGCGGUGUAAUGUUGGAGUAGUACAAAAUUGUCCGACCGCGACCUUGUCUGCAGGCGUUUCAAUGAACCACACGCAAGGCAUCAGUGAUCACCAGCUCACUGCCAUACUGAAACCGGAAAUCUCUUGUACUGACGCAUAAGUUGGAUUAGAUUAGAUUAGAUUAGGCAGAACAUUAUCACGUUCGUACCCAUCGAUGCGUCCAAGACAUUUUGUCCGUUCACGGUUCACCUGCUCCUAGGAUACGUCUGUCCGUGGGACACUGCUAGUGCACUGAUCUGAAAGUGGCCGUUCCUGAGCUGUUCUUCAGUUACGCGUCCACUUCAUGCGUUCGCUUGUGAUGUUCAGAGGUUGCAUGCCUGUCUGGCGGUGCCAAAUCUAGUAAUCUGGGACGCCCAGCCCUUGCCAAGAAGAGCAGGAUGAAUGGACGUCUCGCCUACUCUGUCGUGCUAACAAGUAAAAGGGCAUCGAAUCCAACUUGAACACUAAUCCUGCAUAUAUCAUAGCAAGCGGUAACAAAGCUAGUGCGGUUCAUCGCUGCCAUCUGCCGUUGAUCGGGAAUCCGACGCGCACCGAUCGAUCAGUCCGCGAAACUAAGUGGAUGAACAGUGCGGCGCCGCUCGGCUAUAAAUUCAGGCGCCCGCUGCACACCCCUACACAUCCACACCCCCACUGCCUACCAGUAGCACUUUCCCAGUUCCAGUGUGACUCGCGAGCUCGACCGAUCGCGCAAUGGCGGCUCGCGGCGGGAAGGCCCUGGUGCUGGCCAUGCUGAUCUCCUUCCUCGCGGUCCAGGGAACGCUGGGGUCCGAUUUCGCCGCGUGCUACUGCCACCACAACAAAGUGUGCACGAAACAAUGGCCACGCAAGCCGGUGUACUGCAUGAAGAAAAGCCUCGAAGACUGUACCGGCUGGACGUGCUCCAAGAAGCCUCCUUCCGUGAUGCCACUGGCCGAUGCUGUCAACCCCGGUGAGUUAUAUCGUUCCCGCGUUAGAGCUCAGUGUCAGCUGCCUGAUCAUGUAUGUUAGUGUAUGUGUAGUUCGUGUGUUCUCCGCAAGUUUGUUUGUCUGACCUGUCACGUUUACCAUGGUUUGCUGCUGAAUGCUUACAGUUACAGACGAGGGCAGCAUGGCCGUUCCUGCCGGGGGUGCCGAUCAUGGCGAGUUCAACAUCACUGAGGGCAGCAUGGCUGCUCCUGCCGGGGGUGCCGAUCACGGCGACUUCAACACUGCAGAAGAGGAUGCAGCUCCGUGAGGGCUGGGAGAGGCUGGCUGGAGACUUGGAGGACAGACACAGUUUGGCCGCGGUAUAGGCCGAGAAACUCUUCUAUACUACUAUUAAAAGAGCAAACAUGAAUCUAUACUACUAUUAAAAGAGCAAACAUGAAAUACCCUACACCCACCAAACUUAGUGUACACAAAUUAACCAGCACCCUUGGAUCUAACCCACUUAAUUGUAUCUAAGAGUCUGUAUUACUUCGGUGGUCUGCCAUCAAAACGAAUGGACGAGAUUAAAUGUUUUGCCGGUCUGCCACCAACGUACGGUCUCCACGCAUGCCCACUAAUUCGCUCAAGACCUCAUAACCCCGAACCAACAUCACGUCUCAGUUGCGAAAAAAAUAUCACGUCUCCAACCCCAACCAUAGCUCUCCCCUCUCCCCCAGCCGCCACAGAACUCCUCCCUGUUCCCAUCGCCGCCGCCCGCCGCUUCUCCUCUCCUCUGCUACCCCAGGCGCGAGGAACCAACCUCCCGAAGCAACCGGAGCGGCAAAGCGGCGGAGGAAUGGAGAGAUGGCGUCUGCGAUGGCGGGGAAAAAGAUGGGGCGGGCGUCCUACAUCCGGAUCAAGCACGAGGAGGAGCGGCACGAGGCGUCCUGGAAGGAGCCCGAGGGCUGGGUCUUCUCCGCCACCAUGCGCACCGAUGUCGCCGCGCGCCUUGGCGAGCUCCGCGACCAGAUCCUCGCCGGUUGCGCCUCUUUCCCGACCUCGCCGCACAGCACUCCGGCUGCUCCUCCGCCCGCCGCGGCGGCGACCUAGGUACGCCUCCACUUGCCCCACUUACGCGCUCUGCAGGCUUUCAUAUAGGGUCUCCGAUCGUGGCGAACCAGAAGCACCAGCCCAGGAAGAGCUCGACAGCGUGGAGAUCCUCCCCAGCCAGUAGUACGUGACCAGCCCGAGAUCCACCGCCGAGCCAAGCACUUCUCCUUUCUUUUUCUUCUUCUGUUACCCAGCCAAAACAAUUUUGUGGAGAACAAUCAUAUCUGGUUAGGAUCCACACAGGAAUCUACAACACAAAUAAUGGAGGAGCUACUACAAUAGAGGAUGGACCUGUGGUUGCUUCCCAGCUCUUUUCUUCAAAACAAUCUGAGAAAGAGUACAAAGGAAAUUGGAGCAUAUGGAAAAUUGCUCAGGAAUAUCUCCAUCUUAUGCUUAUUGCUUCGGUGUACAGUGACCUAUAAAAGGGUGAAAACAAUCAGUGAGAUACUUCUCUGGAUGUAGAGCUCUCUGACAUACGCGUAAAAGAUAAAAUUAUAUUUUUUACAUUAUUAUUCUCAAUACUAUAGUUGAACAUUCAUUACCUUGUGGUUCGUACUUGGUCCCAGCCUCCCAAGCAUAAAUCUGAAGUUGUUCUGUAUAGGGGAGUGAAUUGUAUGAGAGUGUGUUUCCAGGCUUAAAUCUGAAAUUGUUGUGUAUACUAUAUGUGCAUGCAGUGUGUAUGGUAGAACCAAUCGAUUUGCAGAAGAUAGCAUGAACCGGAAGGGUAAUCGGUGCCGCCACCGGAAGGCUCGGCAGUGCUAAUCGCCGGAACUACACUACCGGCAGUGCCAUCCAAAUCCUCGGAGACGCUCAAGGUAUAUACAAUGAACACACAAAGGGGUCCACAUGCAAUUAUCUAAUUAUUGGAUGCAUCAGAUUAACGUGCUGAAUGAAUCACAUGUGUAUACUUGAGACAAAUGAAUGUAUUAAUGGUUAGUAAUUUUUUUAUCUAUCCUUUUUACAUGUCCUCGAGGGUGACCAUAGUAGCAUCUUGAGCCCAAAUACAGUCCUGCCAUCUAACGCCGCCUGUAAUUUUUUAGCUACAGGAAUUUGGACCGUCCUGCAAGAAGAAUCAGUUGAGAAGAUUGGACUAUGCUACUUCUCUAAGGCUGAGUAUACACUCUUUGUUGUUAAUUGUAGUGAUAGUUACUAUUAUUGAAUUGCUAAGGUGACAAACUGACAGUUAUUGCUUGAUGAGCUUACUCUUGUUCAUCACAUUGCAUCCCUCUUACACGGGAAUCAUCAAAUGUUCACACAUAUGUAUGUCCUUUAGUUGUCAUUUGCUCUUUUUUAUUUCUUCUUCCCUUUUUUGUGUGGAUAAUCCAAUUUCUUAUGUUGUCAAUGGAUCUUAAACAUCUUCACUUCUGAUUUCUAUUUCAAACAGACAGUGCAGCUUUGACGGCCUCUUAUUUCAUGCCGACAAGUGUAUUUUGUUCCAUUAGAAAUAUAUAACUAUAUUUUAUUCCUGAGAGAGCAAUCUUAUACGGGAAUAUAGUGUUGUAUUUUGUGCACCCUCAUUUGGCAAGAGUUCAGGUUACUAUUUGUCUCUGUGUGAAAGUUCUCACAUUAGUUCAUGCAGAAUAUGUCUAUAUUUUUACCAAGGGGUUCCAAUGAUUCGAGGACUGCAUAUGUGCAGAUCUAGAAACUCUUUCUUCCCAAGAUGGGCAAUGUGCAGAUCUAGAAAUGGUAUGUCCCCUAUGCGUGUAUGACUGUUGGUGGAGAUGUUCAUACUUUAGGAUCUUUGGUUCCUGAGUUAGUGAGGUGCAUGCUCUCGACCCUGACAUCUACUUACUCUAUUGUCAUCUAUAGUCUGUAUUGUGCUCUGCGCUUAAUGUGCAUUGGGUGCAUAGCAGAACAUGAAUUUCAGAUGCCCUUAUUUGUUUGAUGAAAUGCCUCCUUGAUCUGCAUGCCAGGUAUUAUAGCAUACUGUAUAUGGCUUCUAAGCUCUUUGAAAGUUUAGGACACAAUAGGAAGUCAUAUUACAGCGGUUUCCGAUUAAUAACAAAGCUGAAAGCACAAUCUCUAUUUUUCGAGGACAGCAAAAUUGUUUUCUAGAACUGAUAGUUUCUUCGGUAUUUUUUUGUUUGCUUUCUGUUACUUUAUAACUGAAUAUGAAUAUGCAGUUAGCUUAUUUUUCUUUUAUGUGAUAUGUGAGUAAAUAGCAGUUAGCUGCAUGGGUUACUGUGGUUUCAAGCUCAACUUUUGUGUUAUCUAGCUGCAGUGCUAGGACUGGUUGUUUCCCAAAGAGAUGAUAUGACCAUGAGUUUAUGGCCUUUUUGAGCUUGAUGUCUUCUGUAUAAGAGAAAUGAAGUCUUCGGCAUGUACACUGUGUAAACAAUCAUUGGAAAGGCGAGAGGAAGAUAAGAGGAGCAUAUAGAAGUUUGUGAUUUGUAUAGGAGGCCUUGUUGGUAUGAUUUAUUUUCCUGAUGGUAUAUUCAUCUCAUUAGGAAGGCCUUGUUGUGUGGCUUUGGUCUUCCUAAAUUUUUCUGUGAUUUUUUCUUUUCUUUUUAGGUUUGUGAAACAAUGACUAUCCUAGCACAAGAUCUAAUCAUGGAAAUUUCCUUAUUGUACAGUUUUCCAUUUUGAAAUAGUAGACCUUUCUCCAUUGUUGAGAUGUUGAUAGGACAAGUUUUCAUUGCUUAUCUUACCAGGACUAAGAUUAGCCUGGAGAAAGUGUGGCUUGCAUGCCAUGUCAUACACAAAUUAUUAAAUUUUCGUUCUUCAUUUUUUGUUCAUGAAUGUUGCACUCCUGGAGGUGAGACUCGGAAUGGGUGCAUAAUGGUCCUGGCUACCGGAGAACUCUUCAAGCUCGUGGUGCGUGCUGUAACUCCCACUGUGGCGCUGUAGUCGAGCCCAUCAAUUCAAAUUCUGAAGAUAACAUGUAGCCUGAAUCCAAGAGGGAACAAAUCCAGUUGUUCCAAGACGCGUUCUUUUUUGUAUAUCUUGUUGACAGUUUGCAUCUCUGCCAUGUUCACUUGGACAAUGCAUAUAUGUAUUACAAGUCCUUCCAAGUUCAUAGAAUAAAUUAGACAUACUUCUGAAAUCUUUACUUUACGAUUGCGGUUUCAUCUUGGAUUAUGACUUCUUUUUUGUCUGCUCCAACUUCGCAUACAUCCUCAGAAGAUAAAUGUGGGGUUUGUAUUGAAUUUCACCUUUAGAGAGGCAGGGAUUAUUAGCACUACAGAAUUCAAUACACAUGAAUAAUGUGUUCUUUGGUUGAGACGUGCGUUGCAGCUAGUUAGAAUAAAAGCCUUCUCGUAGUGAAAGUCUGUCUGUCAUGCACUGUACAAGAUCUCUGGCUCUGGCAAUAAAUAAACAUAAUUACGUACUAGUAUAUGCUUGUCAUUUUGCUGUACGCCGGGAUGUUCAAAACAUGCUGAACUGAUGUUGCAUAUGCUGCUUGGACAAAACUCA